AGAGUUUGAUCCUGGCUCAGAACGAACGCUGGCGGCAGGCUUAACACAUGCAAGUCGAACGCUCCUAGCAAUAGGGGAGUGGCAGACGGGUGAGUAACGCGUGGGAACAUACCCUCCGGUUCGGAAUAACUCAGGGAAACUUGAGCUAAUACCGGAUACGGCAUUCAAGAGAAAUCUUGGCGGCGAAAGAUUUAUCGCCGGAGGAUUGGCCCGCGUCCGAUUAGCUAGUUGGUGUGGUAAUGGCGCACCAAGGCGACGAUCGGUAGCUGGUCUGAGAGGAUGAUCAGCCACAUUGGGACUGAGACACGGCCCAAACUCCUACGGGAGGCAGCAGUGGGGAAUAUUGGACAAUGGGCGCAAGCCUGAUCCAGCCAUGCCGCGUGAGUGAUGACGGCCUUAGGGUUGUAAAGCUCUUC
rnacentral:rRNA from 1 species